AGGAGAGACACAAUCUGGAGGGAGAAGAGCUUGCACCUGAGUUCAGCAGCUCACAAGACAGAAAGCUUUUUAUCUCUAGCAAGCAACUGACAAGAAUGUAGAGAGUGACUGCUGUAUCAUCAAGAGUCAACAUGGAGAGGAGCCCCUGGUAGACCUGCAAUGGACAUAAACUGUGAGUAAGAAACGAACCAUACUGUUUGAAACCACUGAGCAUUUAAAUUUAAGGUGCUUAAUUGGUAACUCAAAGUAGGAUGCUGCUAUAACAAAAAAGAUAAAAUGUUGUCUUAGGGAUGGGUGUAAACAGCAAGGCUAUUAUCAGAAUCUGGAAGUAUGGUAUUCUGUGGUUUGCAAUGGCCAGUUAUUUGGUAAAAUCUUUGAUAACAAGGAAGGCAGAUCA